rnacentral:rRNA from 1 species
AUUGAACGCUGGCGGCAUGCCUUACACAUGCAAGUCGAACGGUAACAGGUCUUCGGAUGCUGACGAGUGGCGAACGGGUGAGUAAUACAUCGGAACGUGCCUAGUAGUGGGGGAUAACUACUCGAAAGAGUGGCUAAUACCGCAUGAGAUCUACGGAUGAAAGCAGGGGAUCGCAAGACCUUGUGCUACUAGAGCGGCCGAUGGCAGAUUAGGUAGUUGGUGGGAUAAAAGCUUACCAAGCCGACGAUCUGUAGCUGGUCUGAGAGGACGAUCAGCCUCACUGGGACUGAGACACGGCCCAGACUCCUACGGGAGGCAGCAGUGGGGAAUUUUGGACAAUGGGCGCAAGCCUGAUCCAGCAAUGCCGCGUGCAGGAUGAAGGCCUUCGGGUUGUAAACUGCUUUUGUACGGAACGAAAAGCCUUGGGUUAAUACCCUGGGGUCAUGACGGUACCGUAAGAAUAAGCACCGGCUAACUACGUGCCAGCCGCCGCAGUAAAAC